rnacentral:rRNA from 1 species
GACGAACGCUGGCGGCGUGCUUAACACAUGCAAGUCGAACGGAAAGGCCCUGCUUUUGUGGGGUGCUCGAGUGGCGAACGGGUGAGUAACACGUGAGUAACCUGCCCUUGACUUUGGGAUAACUUCAGGAAACUGGGGCUAAUACCGGAUAGGAGCUCCUGCUGCAUGGUGGGGGUUGGAAAGUUUCGGCGGUUGGGGAUGGACUCGCGGCUUAUCAGCUUGUUGGUGGGGUAGUGGCUUACCAAGGCUUUGACGGGUAGCCGCCCUGAGAGGGUGACCGGCCACAUGGGGAUUGAAAUCACGCCCAGCCUCCUCCGGGAGGAAGCAGGGGGGAAUAUUGCACAAUGGGCGGAAGCCUGAUGCAGCACCGCCGCGUGCGGGAUGGCGGCCUUCGUUUUGGAAACCGUUUUCGCCUGUGACGAAGGGGGAGUGACGUUAGUGGAUAAAGAAACCCCGCCAAACUCCGUC